rnacentral:tRNA from 1 species
UCUAAUAUGGCAGACUAGUGCAAUGGAUUUAAACCCCAUAUAUAAAUUUUAUUUUUUUAGAA